rnacentral:lncRNA from 1 species
AGUGCAUGCCCAUGGGAUGUGCUCAUCCCUCAGCCUGGCAGCUUCCUCCAGGAGCCAGCACUGCUGCCGUGCCCAAAGCCGGAUGAGGAUUUCUUUGCCUUUAAUUGAAAGGUAGCAUCUUUCUGCAGAGGAAAUUCAGGGAGAACGACUGAGCAGGACAGGGUCCUAAGGAAAAGAUGGAGAAUCUCUGCUGCCUCCAGCGCACUCAAAUUUAGGCCUCCUCUCCCAGCAUGUGGAAAAGGCGUGGGCUUUGGGCCAGAGGAGGACCUGGGAUGUGAUGGCAGAAGGCAGAGGUGAGUGCUGCUGUGCUGCUCUGGCCAUGGCAGAAUUUGGCUCUUUGAUUCCUCCGAUCGUUUCCAGGGAUAUUAUCCAGCCAUUCUGGAAAACCUGACACUUGAC